rnacentral:rRNA from 1 species
AACGAACGCUGGCGGCAGGCUUAACACAUGCAAGUCGAGCGCUCCGCAAGGGGAGCGGCAGACGGGUGAGUAACGCGUGGGAAUCUACUCAUCUCUACGGAAUAACGCAUGGAAACGUGCGCUAAUACCGUAUACGUCCUUCGGGAGAAAAAUUUAUCGGAGAUGGAUGAGCCCGCGUUGGAGUAGCUAAUUGGUGGGGUAAAGGCCUACCAAGGCGACGAUCGAUAGCUGGUCUGAGAGGAUGAUCAGCCACACUGGGACUGAGACACGGCCCAGACUCCUACGGGAGGCAGCAGUGGGGAAUUUUGGACAAUGGGCGCAAGCCUGAUCCAGCAAUGCCGCGUGAGUGAUGAAGGCCCUAGGGUUGUAAACCUCUUUCACCGGUGAAGAUAAUGACGGUAACCGGAGAAGGAGCCCCGGCUAACUUCGUGCCAGCCGCCGCGGUAACAC